CAACUGACUUGUAAUCAGUAGGUCCCGAGUUCGACUCUUGGUGCCGGCA
rfam:Shewanella sp. P1-14-1 AN944_contig000022, whole genome shotgun sequence.